AACGAAAGCUCCUGUCCCAAAUUGAAUGAUUUGUAAUUCACUCGGAUGCAAACAUGCAUAUUCUCUAUUUUGAAUGAAUAUAGAAUAGUAUGAUGAUCUUCGAAGUAAUAAACAACAAUCAUCCAAUUCUACGAUGACUUUCAGUACACAUCUGUAUGGUAAUAACUAGAUAAUUGAAUUAAGAUGACACAAAUGGAAAACAUACAACUUUUGAGUGAUUUUAUCUUAUCCUAUGUUCCAAAACAAAAAUCAUUCAAUUAUCGUCUGAGUUGUCAUGUAGAAAGAUAAUGAUCGUAAAUGUCAAAUCCUUUUUGUAAACAUUGAACAAAAAUGGCUGCAGCAUCGUGGUGUUCACAUAUGUUUAGUAUUUUGAAGAAUACUAGAACAACAACGUAAUCUACCUAAUGAUGUUGGUGCCUAAUAAUGAUUCACGACAUAUUUACUUCGGACCACGCUUUGGGGAGACACCUGUUCCUGAAAAUAUAAAGUUGCGGCAUGCAUGGGAAUACUUUUCAUAUUAGUGAAUAAAAAGCUGAAAAAUCA
rnacentral:lncRNA from 1 species